rnacentral:lncRNA from 1 species
CAAAACUUUCCACAGGCCACGUCUUUCACUUGUUCAAGCUCAAAUUUCCUGUGGUUACUUCUUGAGUGCUCCUAAGUAAAAGAAAAAUAUCAAAAAAAAAAUAAAAAGAAUUGCAGGUUUGGAACCGUGUUGUUCGCAAGCUGGAUUGAUUUGUCUCUUUUCCACCAAAUCGAUAGUUGCCAGAAACUUUCGGAAGAUCGGGCCACACUUAUUCUCCUCAAGUGGUAAUCAAAGCUUCAGACAUAACGUCAGGUUCACAUCUACCCUUAGUUUCGAGUGUCCUUGUGUUCGUCCCAUAAGUCUGGUGCCAUAUUAUUUUCAUGUCCUACAACCCAUCCGCGCCAUAGCCUUUGCAUAUUUCUGUUUCCGAGUCCAUAGUGUUGAGUUUGUGUCCUGGUCGAGGUCUUGUUACUGGUUAGGUCUUGUUAGAGUCCAAUUUGUGUGUUUCUUCCCACCGUUUCCAUCAAUUUAUAGCCACCGCCGCAAAUUUUCCCACUUCUGGACUGUUUUGUCCUCUAAUUCGGAGUCCGUUCUUAAAACAGCCAUAACUUUCGCAUACGAACUCCGAUUUUGGCGUUCUAUAUAUCAAAAUCGAUCAGAAAAUUUUUCUGGGUCUGUCUAUGCCCGCUAGCGGGUUCGACAAAUUUAGAAUCCCCAAAUUCGCCUCUGAAGUUUGAGUUUUCACCUCCUAAAGUUUUCUUUAUAUUUUUCGCAAUCUUCAAAACUUUCCACAGGCCACGUCUUUCACUUGUUCAAGCUCAAAUUUCCUGUGGUUACUUCUUGUGUGCUCCUAAGUAAAAGAAAAAUAUCAAAGAAAAAUAAAAAGAACUGCAGGUUUCGAACCGUGUUGUUCGCAAGCUGGAUUGAUUUGUGUCUCUUUUCCACCAAAUCGAUAGUUGCCAGAAACUUUCGGAAGAUCGGGCCACACUUAUUCUGCUCAAGUGGUAAUCAAAGCUUUAGACAUAACGUUAGGUUCACAUCUACCCUUAGUUUCGAGUGUCCUUGUGUUCAUCCCAUAAGUCUGGUGCCAUAUUGUUUUCAUGUCCUACAACCCAUCCGCGCCAUAGCCUUUGCAUAUUUCAGUUUCCGAGUUCAUAGUGUUGAGUUUGUGUCCUGGUCGAGAUCUUGUUACUGGUUAGGUCUUGUUAGAGUCCAAUUUGUGUGUUUCUUCCCACCGUUUCCAUCAAUUUAUAGCCACCGCCACAAAUUUUCCCACUUCUGGACUGUUUUGUCCUCUAAUUCGGAGUCCGUUCGUAAAACAGCCAUAACUUUCGCAUACGAACUCCGAUUUUGACGUUGCAUAUAUCAAAAUCGAUCAAAAAUUUUUUUUGGGUCUGUCUAUGCCCGCUUUGCGGGUUCGACAAAUUUAGAAUCCCCAAAUUCGCCUCUGAAGUUGGAGUUUUCACCUCCUAAAGUUUUCUUUAUAUUUUUCGCAAUCUUCAAAACUUUCCACAGGCCACGUCUUUCACUUGUUCAAGCUCAAAUUUCCUGUGGUUACUUCUUGUGUGCUCCUAAGUAAAAGAAAAAUAUCAAAGAAAAAUAAAAAGAACUGCAGGUUUCGAACCGUGUUGUUCGCAAGGUGGAUUGAUUUGUGUCUCUUUUCCACCAAAUCGAUAGUUGCCAGAAACUUUCGGAAGAUCGGGCCACACUUUUUCUCCUCAAGUGGUAAUCAAAGCUUCAGACAUAACGUUAGGUUCACAUCUACCCUUAGUUUCGAGUGUCCUUGUGUUCGUCCCAUAAGUCUGGUGCCAUAUUGUUUUCAUGUCCUACAACCCAUCCGCGCCAUAGCCUUUGCAUAUUUCAGUUUCAGAGUCCGUAGUGUUGAGUUUGUGUCCUGGUCGAGGUCUUGUUACUGGUUAGGUCUUGUUAGAGUCCAAUUUGUGUGUUUCUUCCCACCGUUUCCAUCAAUUUAUAGCCACCGCCGCAAAUUUUCCCACUUCUGGACUGUUUUGUCCUCUAAUUCGGAGUCCGUUCGUAAAACAGCCAUAACUUUCGCAUACGAACUCCGAUUUUGACGUUCCAUAUAUCAAAAUCGAUCAGAAAUUUUUUUUUGGGUCUGUCUAUGCCCGCCACUGGCGGGUUCGACAAAUUAGGAUCCCCAAAUUCGCCUCUGAGGUUUGAGUUUUCACCUCCUAAAGUUUUCUUUAUAUUUUUCGCAAUCUUCAAAACUUUCCACAGGCCACGUCUUUCACUUGUUCAAGCUCAAAUUUCCUGUGGUUACUUCUUGAGUGCUCCCAAGUUAAAGAAAAAUAUCACAAAAAAUAAAAAGAAUUGCAGGUUUCGAACCGUGUUGUUCGCAAGCUUGAUUGAUUUUUGUCUUUUUUCCACCAAAUCAAUAGUUGCCAGAAACUUUCGGAAGAUCGGGCCACACUUAUUCUCCUCAAGUGGUAAUCAAAGCUUCAGACAUAACGUUAGGUUCACAUCUACCCUUAGUUUCGAGUGUCCUUGUGUUCGUCCCAUAAGUCUGGUGCCAUAUUGUUUUCAUGUCCUACAACCCAUCCGCGCCAUAGCCUUUGCAUAUUUCAGUUUCCGAGUUCAUAGUGUUGAGUUUGUGUCCUGGUCGAGAUCUUGUUACUGGUUAGGUCUUGUUAGAGUCCAAUUUGUGUGUUUCUUCCCACCGUUUCCAUCAAUUUAUAGCCACCGCCGCAAAUUUUCCCACUUCUGGACUGUUUUGUCCUCUAAUUCGGAGUCCGUUCGUAAAACAGCCAUAACUUUCGCAUACGAACUCCGAUUUUGACGUUGCAUAUAUCAAAAUCGAUCAGAAAUUUUUUUUGGGUCUGUCUAUGCCCGCUUUGCGGGUUCGACAAAUUUAGAAUCCCCAAAUUCGCCUCUGAAGUUGGAGUUUUCACCUCCUACAGUUUUCUUUAUAUUUUUCGCAAUCUUCAAAACUUUGCACAGGCCACGUCUUUCACUUGUUCAAGCUCAAAUUUCCUGUGGUUACUUCUUGUGUGCUCCUAAGUAAAAGAAAAAUAUCAAAGAAAAAUAAAAAGAACUGCAGGUUUCGAACUGUGUUGUUCGCAAGCUGGAUUGAUUUGUGUCUCUUUUCCACCAAAUCGAUAGUUGCCAGAAACUUUCGGAAGAUCGGGCCACACUUAUUCUCCUCAAGUGGUAAUCAAAGCUUCAGACAUAACGUUAGGUUAACAUCUACCCUUAGUUUCGAGUGUCCUUGUGUUCGUUCCAUA